UGGCUCAGUGGUUAAGAGCACUGGCUGCUCUGCCAGAGGUCCUGAGUUCAAUUCCCAG
rnacentral:tRNA from 1 species